GUGAGCUCCUCUCUCUCCCCCGCGCAGCGAACCCUAGGCCAUAUCUCCCCCGCACACUCCUCCUCCCUUCCAAAUCGCAGCCGCCACCUCCUCCCUUCCAGAUCGCCGCCGCCACCUCCCUCCGGCGAAGCUCCCCGCCAUACAUGGCCUCCCCCACGCCCUCCUCUUUUCUCCCAUCCGCUUCCCUCACUGCGAGCCCUUCUCCCCCGCGAGACCUCUCUCUCUCCCUCCCACGACUCCUCUGCUCCACUCGAUUCCGGCAAGUUGAGGCGGCUCUCGCCAGCGCGCAGCACACCCCCGGGCUCCCCUCGUGCAGCUCUUUCCUCCCCGCCCGUCAGAUCCAUCUCUCGACCCUCUAGUGUAGACCCGCAACCCUCAUCCGUGGCUAGGUUUCGGCCGCCACUUUAACUUCGUCAGGAUAUGCCACAUCCGGCGACGGUGAGGCCAGAGGUGGUGGCCGUGCGAAGGAGGAGGAGGAGGUACCCCGCCACAGUCGUCGGGGAAGGUGUUGUGGCCGGAGCAUCGGGUGCUGGUUCUCGUGCUGGCGUUCCGCACGGUGAACGCGAUGCUGGUGCGCGCCUACUUCAACCCCGACGAGCACUGGCAGUGCCUCGAGGUCGCCCAUCGCGUCGCCUUCGGGUAAGCUCGCCGCCGCUCACUCCCGGCUCAUGCCCCUGUCCCGGCGGUCCUAGCUAGCGGGAUCGGGAUUGGACGACGCCCUCUACGGCCACUGGUACGAGCGGAUGCCGCCGGAGCCCGCCGCGAAAGGGGACGAGGCGACGUCCUCCUCCUCGUCGCCGGCGGUGGCAGCGCGACGGCCCAAGGCCCCCUACCCUGGAGCCUACUCCCAUCGUCUCUGCUCUCUUCCCCGCCCCUGAGGAGCCACUCAUCGGCCCGAGCUGUGUCCUCCACCGCUGUUCCUCAUCAGCAGUGGGAUGGGAUAAAAUAAUCACUGCCGCCACAAGGUGUGCUCCAUGCACUCCAAGGCGCCGCUCGUCGUCGUCGCCGGCAUCGAGCAGCGCUUCUGCCAGCAGUGCAGCAGGUACUCUCCUCUCCUCUCUUUACCACAAGCAAUGCCGGCGUAGUGGUGGAUGGAUCCUGAAAUAUACUUUAUUUUUCUCUCCCACGACUACCCCCCAACAUCUGGCUAGCUAUUACCACCAGCAGCGAGCAUGCAAGUGUAAAAAAAGUUGCUCAGGUUCUGCAAUUGGUCGUCCAGCCUAAACAUUUUGCUUUACUUCCUUGCUUUGCCACAUCCAGAAAACAAAGAAAUUCUCAAGCGAUGACGCAUGGGGGCGUGUAGUGCUGUAGUGGGCAUUGGUGAAAAGAAAAUAGAACAAACAAAUAAAACAAUGUAAUAUUUGGUUGGGUAGGUAGCAUCUGACCAGAAUAGUAAGGGACAGAAAGGUGUACAACCUGAAAUUCUUGUCCGAGUGGCGCAUAUAGUAAGCCUAGAUUUCUUUUUUCCUCUCUUCCAUAUUCUACUGUAGGCUAUAUUAGGAUGUGAGAAGAGAAUGGGUAGUUCCAGCAGUAGUACAGCCAUGGUACCAGUGCUACUGUAGUAAUUUAACACCCUACCCUAGUGAUAUUCUUAUACUCCUAUGUUGGGUGGAAGUGAAAUUAGCUAAAGAAAAAUGGAAUAAACAGAGGUUAUUUUAGUAAUAAAUGAGCUAACACUGACUAAAAAUUUCUUGUAUUAAAAAACAGGAUACUGUCAUUGAUGCUGGCAUGUACGACGGAGCCUUGGGUAUUAUAUGCGCAAUCUCUGCUCUGAAGGUUUUGAGAGUCACUGGAAAACUUCAAAGGCUCACAAGACCAGUAGAGGUGAAGUGAGAAUCCAAGUCCGAAGCUGUGAAGCAUAUCAGUAAAGAGUAGCAUAUUAUGUGUUGUAAUUGUAGGCAGUAGUAUGCUUAUUUGGGCUGUAGUAUAAUGUAACGAUUGUAAUAGACUAAUGUAGUGUUAUUUUGGACGAAUUCCGUUUGCUCUUUGGAUUGUUCAAAAUAAUGAAUGUGUAUAUGAUUUGAAUACCCCAAAAUGGUAACUUGGAAAAGGGGUUCAAGUUAUAAUGGUUGUUUGACAUAUUUU